rnacentral:lncRNA from 1 species
UCCUGGUGACCAACCACAGCUGGCACUGGUGAACGCAGCCUCUUAGCCCAGGCAGGCUCUGGUCAGCCUCACCUGCUGGGACCGCUGAGUGGUCCAAGAGCUGGCUUGGCUGACUGGGACCUGGGCCUCAGCUUCCCCAUCUGUGCAGGGGGCCGCUGGUGAUACCGGUCCCUGCCAUGCCCUGGUGGAGAUAUGGCCCAGUGAGACUUCGUGAGGGGUCUAGGCCACUGCUGUCACGUGGUACGUCUUCUACCCUGGCCCCUAGGUGGCCCUGGCCUCAGCCUUGCUCUAAAGAGGAAUGAAGCCCAGCCCACAGCCCCUUAGCACAGAUACGCUCGGGAGACGGGACCCUCACCGUUACUCAUCUCCUUACUGUUCCCUGGACACCUUGGGGUCCCUGCGCCUCUCCACCCGUCCCUGCCAGGUCCUCCUGCUCCACCACAGGCCAUC